GGCCGGAGCUGCCCAGCUGGGUGCUGGACGCCAUCUUGGGUCAAGGUGCAGCCACAGGGGGCUCCCCUCAGGAGCAGGGGAAGAAAGCCCCCGAGACUCAGCAAGCCCCCCAUUCCCCAACCAGGGCAGCAACACCUACUCAACUGGCUUUGCAGUAGAGAGAGGUGGAAGAACGUGGGGAUGAAGAGAAAAGUGGGAAAUAACAGAGAGGGGGUGGGAGGGGAGUGGGUGCCCCCAAGAAGGGAGGUUCCAGGAAAGCGAAACGCAGUUUGGCAGCCGGCAGGCCGCGGGCCCCAGCGAUGGGGGGCUGGGGGAGGCCGGGGGCGGGCCCUGGACCCACGCCAGCUCGGUCCGCGCGCAGAGGGGGAGGGAGGGCAGGGCGGCCUGGGGGAGGGGAGCCGGGGUGAGGGCGGGACACGGACCGCGGCCGCCUGCGGCUCCGAAGCUCGGGGUCUCCGGGGUGCUGGGCCGCGGGGCCGAAGACUCCGAUCUGCAGCCUCUGCGAGGCCUCGUCCUUCACUGUACAGAUGCGAAGCUUUCAAGGACACGUCUGCACCGGCCCAGCGGGGGUGCCGCCGCCGAAUGGAGACCAGCCCACUCGACAGGGCCAAGGUCGAGGCGCCAGGUCCAUCCAGGUCGUCCCGGAGGCUCUAUAGGAUGAGUCCCCUUAGAGGGAGUGAGCUCCCCGUACCUUGAAGUGUCCAAGUAGACUUCGCCCCUUUGAGGGCAUAGGAACGGAGUUACCUAACUCUUUGAGACACGGAGCCCAACUUUCGUCUGAGUGGUUUUCCUUCUGGAAGCUCCCUAAGGCUCCCAGAUCCUCCAGUCUUCCCCACUCUCCAGCCUCAAGGUCAGAGGCCACUCCACACAAUCGUCCUGGCCUUUUUCAGUGUCACCCUCACUCAAGUGGUCACCCCAUGCCGCUGAUGACAGGCCCUGCUGCCCGUGGAUUCCACCUGUCCAGUUCCAGAGACUCGUGCUGUUUCUCCCAUGAGGACAAGAACCACAUCUGUAGCUUGGCACUUGGCGCCCAGUAGGUUCUCAAUAAACAUUUGUUGAAUGAAUGCAUGCAUCGCCGGCUCCUUGCCGCUUUGCUUUCCACACCAAGAUAGGCAUCCGCAAAUACUGUAGAGCGUGGCUAAGGGGAAGACCAUGUUUAGAAAGAUGGUGCCAUACCUCUCCCUUCCUCAAGGGCUUAUAUAAUACUGCCCCCAAAUAGCAGCGACUGUUUCCUGAGUGCCUCCUGCGUGCCAGGCACCGGACUUGGCGCAUUUCUGUGCCAAACCUGUGUGGUAGUUUAUAUUAUCCUCACUCUACAGAUGAAGAAACUGAGGUUUAGUCAAAGCCACAGAGUUGGGGAAGUCACAGGACCAGAAUUCAAUGCCUGGUUCAUCUGACCCUGAAAUGACCACAUCGCACUUUUAAAACAUUAUAGUUGCUCUCCACAAGCUGAAAUUCUCAAAGAAGGGCAAAUGUAAGUUUCUAUUGAGUAGAACUAUUUAUGAUGAAGUCACUGGGAGCCCAUAAUGUGUGUGACCUUGGAUAUCUGUGUUGCUGGGGUCAAGAGGCCCAAGUUGACCAUGUUAGAGGGGGUUUGUGUCCAGUAAGAAGCCACCAUGUGGCUACAGGGCUGGUUCCAGAGCCUGGCCCUGAUGUCUUCGGCAUGAGAAGGCCCUUCCAGGUGGUCCCAAGAAGAGGCAUAUCAGUGCUCGCUAACCCUACUGGGCCCUCCGUGCCACACAUCACACUGGGUCUGGCUCCGAUUGAUUUAGGCUUUGGGCUCCUAGACCCCCUCACUUCUGUCCAUUCCACUGUGGUCUGACCAGAAUCCUGGUUGAUCCUAAGUUAUCUGGAUCGAGGGGCAGUAUCAGUCAGGAUAUGCUAGGUUAUGCUGCAAUAGCAAACAACCCCAAAUUUUCGUGACUUGAAAUCACAGAAGUUCUGUGGAAAACAGCAUGGUGGUUCCUCACAAAGAUUAAACGUAGAAUUAUUUGAUCUAGCAAUUCCAUUUCUGCGUAUAGACCCAAGGAACUGAAAGCAGAGACUCUCAUAUUCUCUGCUAUUUGUACACCAACGUUCAUAGCAGUAUUAUUUGCAAUAGCCAAAAGGUGAAGACAGCCCAGAUGUUCAUGAAUAGAUGAACAGAUAAGUAAAAUGGGGUGUAUACAUACGGUGGAAUAUUAUUCAGCCUUUAAAAGGGAAGGAAAUUCGGAAAGCUGCUGCAACACGGAUAAACCUUGAAGACAUUCUGCUAAGUGAAAUAAGUCAGACACAAAAGGACAAAUAUUGUGUGAUUCCACAUACAUGAGGUACCUGGAGUAGUCACAUUCAUAGAGACAGAGUAGAAUAGUAGCUGCCAGGGACUGGGCUCUGGGGGGUGGGUGUGAGGAGUGGGAAGGUCAUGUUUAGUGGGUACAGAGCUUCAGUUUGGAAAGAUGGAAAAGAGUUCUGGAGGUGGAUGGUGGUGAUGGUUGCACAAUAUGCGAGUGUACUUACUGCCUCUGAACUCUACACUUAAAAAUGGCUAAGAUAGCAAUUUUAUGUUACACAUAUUUUACCACAAUAAAAGAAAUUGAGCAUGGCACAACUAUAAAUUAAGUCUAUCAAGUAUAAAAAAAACCGUAAGUUUUUCCUGCUCCUGUUACAUGUCUGUGGCAAGUCUGCAGAGGGGUAGAGCUCAUGGAAUAUUCUGGGACCCUGGCUGACAGAAGAGCCACCAUCGCCAGGAGAGCACAGGAGGAUAUCACACUGACACAGCCGUCUGUCCCUCAGUGGCCGGAACCAGUCCUACAGCUCCAUUCAACUAUCAGGAUCCAGGAAGUAAACACUACCACGGAUCUCAAAGCAGGGAGAACCAGACACAUUUAGCAAAAGCAGCACCAGCUCCUUCACCGACAACGUGUUCCUCUAACAUCUUCCACCCGGCGACUCCAGCAGAAGGCUCCGUUCCCACACCUCUGACUCAGAUGAGACUCUACCCUUGGCCCCCCACACUCUGCUAGACCUUAUGUCCUCUCCAUCAGUCAGCUUCUGAAACUAUUCCACCUGCCUUUGCUGCACCCCCUCCCUGAUGUCCGGACCUGGCUCACCUACCAUCCUGCUGGGUGAUUUCAACCCCACAGUGACUCACCACUUGGGUCAUCUUCAUACCCACUGCUUGUCACACCCACCAGGACAGCUGCAUCACAGGCCACUAUCCACGUAGGUUCUUCAUCGAUAGCAAAUGGUGACACUUCCUCCUACCUUCCAUGUGGCUUGUUAUAUUCGUCAAGACUCUCAGUCACAUGGGACAGAAUCCCAGCCUAAACUAGAUUUUAAACAAAGGGAUUCAGUAGUUUAGAGUUUAGACAAUUGGGAAGCCCAGGGUUGGAGAGUCAGGAAUAGGUAAAUCCGGGGACUCAAAUGCCACCUCCUGAGCUCGCUGUCUCCAUCACGCUUGCCUGCUCCCCACUGUGUUGGCACUUUCUCUCCUCCUUGAGUCAGACUCCAAGAUGGUGGCCAGCAGUCUCAGGCGAACCUUCUCCCAGUUCAGAAUCCCAGUGGAAGAACAAUGUUUUCUUUCCCCUUAGGAAGCACCCCAAUGCUUCUAGGACAUGAAGCUCCACGUCCUUUAGCAACAACCCCUCCCCCACCUCGAGCCUCAAGGUCUGAGACACGUAACUGUUCUGUUUUGUUUUUCGUUACCCUCACUCAAGGGGCCAUCCCCAGCAGAAGAGUUCCAAGGGUCACUUCAGUUGUUCUGGCCUUGGUCACAAGCCCACCGUGACCCAGGUUCUACAAACAGUAGGACAGCAUGAGUCACGUGCCCACCCCCAUAAGUGAGUGCAGGAGGUGGCCCUCGCAUGGACAGAUCCAGCCAGCGCCCCAGGGAGUAGGAGCAGAGUUGUCCCCCAAAGCAAGGGGUGCUGGGCAGACACCCUGCACGUCCCCCCAUGCCUGCCCAGCAUCCACGCGGACCUUCUUUCCUCGUGUACGCGCUUUCAAAACGCUCUGGCUAUCUGAUGGAGAUGGUGGUUGCACAACAUUGCAAAUGCGCUACCCGCCACUGAAUUGUACAUUUUUACAUGAUUAAUGUCAUGGGAAUUUCACCUCAAUAAAAGAGAUAUUUUUAAGAUGUUCUUACUAAAAUGAAGAGCCCACGCCAUCUACAACUAAAAAUGCACUUGAUCUCCUUCCCAAAGGAAGAUGAUCCAAGUAUGACCAGCUCUAAAAUCAGGAUCUCUGAGUAAUGUGCAUUUCUCUCAAUGAGGUGGAUGUGGCUUCUUAUCUAUCACGGUGGCGAAAUUAUAAAUGUAACUACCCCAAAACGCCGAGCCCAUGACGGCAGAGAGAAAACAGAUGAUCCACCGUAAGGACUGGCUUCGCAAAAGAGGAGACGGGGAAGAUCCUUUGGGGGUUGCCAGCCCACGGCCUAUACCACACCCUGCUGGCUGGGCUGCCAGGGCUCACUCCUCCACGGGGGAGCCCGGGCCUGGUCCUGAGAGAAUCUCCCCAGUUCACUGUCCUCCAUGGCUGUGCCUGAGGGCCCACAGGGAAGAAGUCUCCUUUGUGGAGGGCCAGCUUCCUGGUGGCACGGUCACAUCUUCCUGGGGAUUCCUUCAGAGCUUGAGCCAUCCCUAGGUCUGGGGAUUUGAUGUCACUUCUGUAAAGCCUUAGCCAGCUGCCCGUCAGCUCAUUCUCUGGGAACUCCAUGGACCAGCAACCAGCCCCCCGAAGGCCCCACUCCCACAGCAACUGUCACGAACCUCCCCCAUUUCUAGAUGCUGGUUUGGCCCCUUCCCCGGAGACACCUCAGCCUCU
ensembl:lncRNA